ACACCAGUGGUGUGUGGUACACGCGCUGGCCAAUUAGAACAGGACGAGAACCUAAUAGGUAUCACAGCGAGUCGGGGUUCGAUUCCCCGCUGGUGUA